UGUGUAGAGAAAAAAAAACGCCGCUGCCUGCUACCGCAUCCACCUUUACUAAAGAAUCUACGUCAGUGUGGCCUUGUAUGACUGAUAUCACUAAACAAGAUAACAGUCAGCAACUCUGCAGCCUCUUGGCACACUUUCGUACAACAAAUACUGUCACUGCAUUUGGACCUGCCACCUCUCCAAUCUCCCCUGGUGCCUCAGGAACAUGCCUGGGCAGGAUCCAUUCACAUGCUGAGGCAAGACACCACCAGGAGCCACUGAGAAACUGACUGACAUCCCACCGAGAGACCAGGCUGAGAGCUGUAAGGAGCCAUCGAGUGACCGACCAACCCGCCACCGAGAGACCAGUCUGAGACCUGUCAUGGGGCAGAUGAGCAGCAAGGAACAGGCCCACCAUCUUUGAGCCAGUCACCGUGCCAUUCUAAAGUAAUACCAUCUGCCAUUGGGCGUGCAUCACCAGCAUUUAUUGCCUAUCCC